rnacentral:rRNA from 1 species
UACAGAGGGUGCAAGCGUUGUUCGGAAUUAUUGGGCGUAAAGCGCGUGUAGGCGGCUUUGCAGGUCGGGUGUGAAAGCCCUCAGCUCAACUGAGGAAGUGCGCCCGAAACUGCAAGGCUUGAGUACCGGAGAGGAUGGCGGAAUUCCCGAAGUAGAGGUGAAAUUCGUAGAUAUCGGGAGGAACACCGGUGGCGAAGGCGGCCAUCUGGACGGAUACUGACGCUGAGACGCGAAAGCGUGGGUAGCAAACAGG